GAGUUUGAUCCUGGCUCAGAUUGAACGCUGGCGGCAGGCUUAACACAUGCAAGUCGAACGAUGACUCUCUAGCUUGCUAGAGAUGAUUAGUGGCGGACGGGUGAGUAACAUUUAGGAAUCUGCCUAGUAGUGGGGGAUAGCUCGGGGAAACUCGAAUUAAUACCGCAUACGACCUACGGGUGAAAGGGGGCGCAAGCUCUUGCUAUUAGAUGAGCCUAAAUCAGAUUAGCUAGUUGGUGGGGUAAAGGCCCACCAAGGCGACGAUCUGUAACUGGUCUGAGAGGAUGAUCAGUCACACCGGAACUGAGACACGGUCCGGACUCCUACGGGAGGCAGCAGUGGGGAAUAUUGGACAAUGGGGGCAACCCUGAUCCAGCCAUGCCGCGUGUGUGAAGAAGGCCUUUUGGUUGUAAAGCACUUUAAGCAGGGAGGAGAGGCUAAUGGUUAAUACCCAUUAGAUUAGACGUUACCUGCAGAAUAAGCACCGGCUAACUCUGUGCCAGCAGCCGCGGUAAUACAGAGGGUGCGAGCGUUAAUCGGAAUUACUGGGCGUAAAGCGAGUGUAGGUGGCUCAUUAAGUCACAUGUGAA
rnacentral:rRNA from 1 species